rnacentral:rRNA from 1 species
GACGAACCGUCCAAACGUUGUUCGGAAUCACUGGGCUUAAAGGGAGCGUAGGCGGGCUGCCAAGUCCGGGGUGAAAUCCUCCAGCUCAACUGGAGAACUGCCUCGGAUACUGGAAGUCUCGAGGAGGGUAGGGGCAUGCGGAACCGUGGGUGGAGCGGUGAAAUGCGUUGAUAUCCAUGGGAACUCCGGUGGCGAAGGCGGCUCACUGGCCCGAUACUGACGCUGAGGCACGAAAGCGUGGGGAGCAAACAGG